rnacentral:rRNA from 1 species
GGGUUGUGAGGUUAAGCGACUAAGCGUACACGGUGGAUGCCUAGGCAGUCAGAGGCGAUGAAGGGCGUGCUAAUCUGCGAUAAGCGUCGGUAAGCUGAUAUGAAGCGUUAUACCCGACGAUACCCGAAUGGGGAAACCCAGUGUGUUUCGACACACUAUCAUUACGUGAAUACAUAGCGUAAUGAGGCGAACCGGGGGAACUGAAACAUCUCAGUACCCCGAGGAAAAGAAAUCAACCGAGAUUCCCCUAGUAGCGGCGAGCGAACGGGGAGGAGCCCAGAACCUGAAUCAGUUUGUGUGUUAGUGGAAGCGUCUGGAAAGUCGCACAGUAAAGGGUGAUAGUCCCGUACACAAAAAUGCACAAAUUGUGAGUUCGAUGAGUAGGGCGGGACACGUGACAUCCUGUCUGAAUAUGGGGGGACCAUCCUCCAAGGCUAAAUA